CUGCCGUGGCAUGCUUUUGCCUAAUGAGUCUCGUGUGCUGUUCUUUAUCUUAUCGCUUUAAGCAAAUUAUUGUGGAACCACGGCUGCCAUCCUAAGCCUUUGGCACAUGAAUUCCACUCUGCAGUUGGCUGAGUGUAUGUCUGUCUGACUGUCUCCCUUGCACACAGUUGCCCGUGGUACGCAACUACAAAUGUCUGCAGUUCCAUCCCAGCAUUGACCAUUUUUAUGGGAUCUUAAUCUUAGCAUUGAUCCCUUUUUUUUAGGAAAUCUUAGCACUGACCUGUGAAGUUUUUUUUUUAGGGGAUCACUGACCUGUGAAGUGAUAGCCCACGGAGGGCCAUGUUCUGAUUUACGGGAAGGGGUGGCCCAAAAAGCGAAUAUAUAGCCGGCCCAACCAACGGUAAGAAACUUAAGACAUACAGCAAUAGCAGAUGAUUGCUGUCCCUUCUUUCGGCCCAACCAGACCCAAGGUGAGAAACUAGAAGCAACAACAGGAAACAGACGGAGAAAUUCCACAGCACAAACUGUAUCUCUCCCAUGCUGUCAAAAAAAAAAAAAACUUUAUCUCCCCCAUCCGAUCCGUAGCACAAACAUUCCCUCGGCUCUCCGAUCAAAAAAGAAAAACUUUCCCUCGGCUCUCCAUCGACCACACCACCGAACACAAGCAAACCAAACACCUCAAUCUCUGUCUCUAGAGUCGUGCGGUAACCUGAUUAAUCUCGUACAUCCCUCUAGAUCGCCACAACAAUCCUCUCGAGAAACCUGUUACCUGUGGCGCUAUUUAGAGAUUAUUAGAGAAAGAAACAGAAAGGAAAAGCUGUGGCUGCGGUGAAAUGAGCGCCGCGCGCACUGCUGCGUGCGCGCGUGACGCACGCUAUCUGGGCAUGUGCGAGCCUUGUCUUGACACGUUUGGCAGAGGACACGUACAUACUUACGUAUACCGUCGUGCCUUUCACCUCCCAUGCAUCCAUCACACACAGAUUCACGGGUAUGAAAAGACCGGACGACUGACUGUUCGCGCGCCUCAUCUUGCUUUCGCUCCAUUAGAUAUAUCCUUUUCUUUCAUGGCGACGUAUAUACAUGGC
rnacentral:lncRNA from 1 species